rnacentral:rRNA from 1 species
CCCUUAGAUGUUCUGGGCCGCGCGCGCGCUACACUGAUGCGUUCAACAAGUUUCCUUGGCCGAGAGGCCUGGGCAAUCUUCUUAAUAUGUAUCGUGAUAGGGAUAGAUUAUUGCAAUUAUUAAUCUUGAACGAGGAAUUCCUAGUAAACGCAGAUCAUCAAUCUGCAUUGAUUACGUCCCUGCCCUUUGUACACACCGCCCGUCGCACCUACCGAUUGGAUGUUCCGGUGAAGCCUCGGGAUGAGGACUGGUGCCUUUAUUGGCAUGAGUUGUUCAGAACUUGUCUAAACCUUAUCAUCUAGAGGAAGGUGAAGUCGUAACA